UCACUUGUACGCGGGAGCUCGCGCCGAAAGCGGGCUGAGAGGGUGGCUGUCCGACCAGGACGGUGCCGCCGACCGCUCGAACCUGACCGGGUAAUGCCGGCGUAGGGAGCGCUCACAUGAGCCGU
rnacentral:ncRNA from 1 species